AAUGUCAUCAAAUCCAAACAGGUAGCAGUAACAAUACAGGAAACUAACGUCAUUUUAAAACAGGUGCUUAUGUGAUCCUUAAGUUUUUUUCCUAUCUUGUAAAUAAGAUAUUGUAGUUAAAUAUUGUAUUUGUAUAGAAAGCUAUACCACUACUACACAAAUGCUGUGCGUCUGUCAAUUAUUUUUCAUCAUCUGUGACAUGUCUAUUAUAUAUGAUUAAAAAAUAGAAAUUCAUAUUUAC
rnacentral:lncRNA from 1 species